rnacentral:misc_RNA from 1 species
GCGUCGUUAGAUUACACGUUGUUACAGAAUGCGUUGAGGAAAUAAAGGUUCACUGCUCGAUCCCGUUGGAGGCUUUGCGUCGUAUGAAGCAGAUACCGCAAUGGCACUGCUUAAGAUACCGACGAUUCCCGCUUCACAGUCCUUGCAAUCGUUGGUGGUUGAUGCGAAGACAAUGAAAAUAAAAUUAAGCUCUCAAAAAUAUCAAGUCUUGACAAACAUCAAAUGGUUUCACUUUGCACGUUUGUUAUUCGAAGCCAUUAUACUAUGAAUGAAUAGGCACGAUUGCCGAAUAAUAGUCGGAUAAAAGAAUCGGAGAAAAAAUGAGACGCGACAUAAUAUAUAGAUAUACAUUCGUUACAUGGUUGCACAUAUUUCGGAACGAAAAUUAUAAACAAAAUAAAAACCGUUAACAUUUUCCUAUCUUAUUAUUUUCUAGUAAUUUAACAUCAGUGAAAUAUUUUAACUGUCUAUUUGAAUUUUCAUGAUUUGUAUUAGGUACUCAUAAUUUUAUAUUGCGGGUCUUAUUACGGUUUUAUAGUGGUCAUCUCAUGACGAUGACGGAUGCAACAUUGAAAUAUCAAACAAAAAUAAAAGGUACAUACCUAAUAUGAAUUGAAUAUGAUUGUUUUAUAGACAAAAGAUACAGGAAUUGUUAACUAUUUUUAUUCGUAGGUAUAUAUACAGAAUACAAGUUUAAAAGACGUGCUUAAAAAAGUCUUUUUUAGCGAAAUUAAAAAAGACUAAUAAACCAGUCAAAGAAAAGAUAACAUAGAAAAAUCAUUGGGAUACAUUGAUAGCAUUGUCGUAUUAACUAAAUUUAUUACUAGAUAUUAUGACAUUUAUAUAUUUCGGCGAAUAAAUGAACCAUAUGUAUAUAUAUAAUAUGUUGUUUUCUGUUUGCAUGAACAUAACAUAAAUCAUGCAUUAAUUUUGUAUUUUAUAUUCGAAGUCUAACAUAGAAGUAGUAAGAAGUAGUAGUAAGAAGAAGUAUAACGUAGAGUACAUUGCACCGUUUACUUUAUUUCAUAUCUGUAGGUAAUACUACUUCUCGAUAAAAGCAAUGUACCUAAUUCUUUAUUUAUACUUAUUUAAUUUCAUGUAAUGCCUUAACAGGACAAAACUCUUCUUAAGGAGAAGUUUCAGUUGUUUUCAUGUUACUAGCCCAAAAUAUACUAUGUACUUUUUAUUUAAGAUAAUUAGGUACCUAUGUAUUUUGUAUUAUCUGCGUGUACUAAUACGAUACAUUAAUUAAUGAUGUAAUUACAACGUGGGUUGUGAUUAGUUUUUCAUUUUUUUUCUUAUGUAUUUUUGUGUAGGAAAUGUUAAUUGACAUUUAAAUAUUUUAUUGUCUAAGCAUCGAAUUAUUGUAAAUGUCAUAAAAGCAACAAUAAUUAUAAAGCUGUACAUUCAGGUAAUUGGCGUUGGACGUAUGAUUGACUCAUCAUAAUCAUUAAUUCGACUCUUUAAAAUUUACAUUAAUUCUUGUUAAUUUACGUUAAUAUAGGUAGGUACUCAUUAUAUUAUGCUCUUACUAUUACAAAAAAUGAGAGAAAAUACAGGAAAAUGUACUUAUCAAAAAUUUAAAAAAUCAGUAUUAAUGUUGCAUUAUGUUCUUAAGCUUAAAUAAAUAAAGUUAAUAAUACAAUAUUAUUUAGUUUUAUUACACAAAAUAUUGUCCUAUUAGCUCUUUUAGGAUUUUUUAAAAAGAUACAUAAUUUUUAUUCUUGAGAGUAUUAAAUUAAAUAUUUUAGAUCAAUGGAUUAUUUUUAUAUA